UUCUCUCGCAUAUCAGCA
rnacentral:snRNA from 1 species